ACACUACAACAGCUCGAUUACCCUCCAAUUCCUUCGAUCGGAAACGAACCAUGUCCGCGUGAUUCACAUUACUCUUCCCCGUGCAGCGACUGAACUAUGGGGUUCCACUUGAUUUUCCAUGGCAAUCGCGCGCAACGUCAAAAAACAACGCUUCAAUCUUCUGCCACUACCUCCUCCAUUGGCCUUUAGGUACUUGAAUGACUACCCUUGUUACCGGAGAUUGGAGAACAACUAUGGCGGGCGAUGAUAUCUCCAUGGAAAGUAGCGAGCUGAAACGUCAAAAGAUGGACGGAGAUGACGGACGUGAUGCGACUAGUAAUGUGCCAGACUCGGUGCUCCUCCACAUCCUGUCCUUCCUGCCCACGAGAGACGCCGUGAGGACAGUGAUGGUCCCGAGAUUCCGUUACCUCUGGACUUCUACCCGCCACUUAUCUUUCGAUCACUGUGCUAACCAUAACUGCAAGGAGGAGGCCGCUGCUUUUACCGACCGUGUGCUGACUCCGCACGAGAAUCCCCACAAUCGAUUCGUUCCGCCUUUAUUUGAACUAUGCGGCUGAGGCGUACACCGAUUAUCCUCAAUAUGAGGGUGGUCUAACUGAAGAGACAAGAAGGUCGAACAAAAUCGGUAUGUGGAUUCGUUUUGUGGCGAGGAGAAAGGUUAAGUUCCUCGAUUUGGACUUCUUGGCGUGUGCUAGGGAAGUUCUUACAUAAUCUUGACUUCCCGCAUAAUCUUUACGUGCUGCCCAGCAUUGUUCUGAGGUGUAGCUGCUUAGUAGAGCUGAAGCUGGCUUCCUGCGAGGUCAGACCGGUGGGACGGGUCCAACUAAGGUCGCUUAUAAAAUUGUUCAUGAAGCAAAUUGACUUAACUGACAACAUCAUGGCUGACAUACUAUCCGGUAGCCCGUUGCCAAAAGAAUUGUCUCUUGAAUAUUGCGAUGGCCUCCACGAGCCCAAAUUCUGUUGUGGCCCAUCUUUUGAAGAGUUAAAUUUGGAGGAUUGCGGCGGUUUGAAAUAGCUUGAUCUUACACGAUCAGAUAUAUAAAACAUUUAAACAUUGACCACAGUGGGCAUCUAGAGUCAGUUUGUCCUAAUGUGAAGAUUCUGGAUAUUGCUGGGCGUAUAAAGUAUGUCAAGGUGACCGAUAUGUCAUCACUGGUUGAUACGUCCCUCUACUUCAGUCAUUAUCUUAGAUAUUCGUCCGGGAAAUAUCGUGAGUUGAGACUGCUUUUGGAAAAGCUCAGCUGCAGUCCUUAUUUUAUGCCAUGCGAUUUGUGCAUACAGGUAUUAACUAUGUGGGAGCUGACAAAUCAGCCAUAUCCAUCUUUCGCCUGGAAGCACGUAACACUUCAAAUGCAUCUGAGAAAGCAGUACCUCCCCGACAUUUGUAGCUUGUUAAGGAACUCUCAUUUUCUUGAGACACUCGCUAUUUAUGUUUAUCCUGGAAGAUAUGGCGAUGAAUCUGAGGUAUGAAUGCUUGAACUGUAAAAUUUUAUUGGAAUAUACGAAUUUGGAAGUAACGGAGAUUGAAAAGUUGCUUUAAACUUUUAGCUUGCUGAAGCAGGGUGGAAGCUUGCAUUUGAGUUCAAUGGCUUUAGUUACUGGACUUCAGUCGACGGCAUAUUUCCCUGCCUCGAGCACCAGCUUAAGCAUGUUAAGAUAUAUGGUUAUGUACAGGAGCCUGAAGUCAUUGAGCUCAUUGAAUUUCUACUUAAGAAUGCACAGGUCCUGGAGAAAAUAGAGAUUUCUGCCAAGAAGACUCUGCAGCGAACACAUAGCAAGUACAUGUUUGCCAGUGACAUUGGUCGUCCGUCAAAGGAUUAUUGUACAUCAGACACACUCCUAGAGUUUUCACAAAAGUUGUUAAGUUUCCCGAGGGCCUCAACUUGUGCUGUAAUACACCUGGGUUAGAUACUGGAAUUGGAAUUGUGUUCACCCCUCUUUUGGACACCCUUGAUGUUUCUAUUUCAGGCAUGUCUCACAUCUGAUAGACUUUACAAAAGUAGUUGGCCUUUAUGAUGUAUUCGCUUUUUUGCCUCAGGUCUAGCAACAUCCCCGACUCUGUACAGGCAGCUUUAUGAAUAUUUUGAUAGUGGAUGUGUCUUUUUUUGCCAAA